rnacentral:rRNA from 1 species
GAUGAACGCUGGCGGCGUGCCUAAUACAUGCAAGUCGAGCGAAUGGAUUAAGAGCUUGCUCUUAUGAAGUUAGCGGCGGACGGGUGAGUAACACGUGGGUAACCUGCCCAUAAGACUGGGAUAACUCCGGGAAACCGGGGCUAAUACCGGAUAACAUUUUGAACCGCAUGGUUCGAAAUCGAAAGGCGGCUUCGGCUGUCACUUAUGGAUGGACCCGCGUCGCAUUAGCUAGUUGGUGAGGUAACGGCUCACCAAGGCAACGAUGCGUAGCCGACCUGGGAGAGUGAUCGGCCACACUGGGAAUGAGACCCGGCCCAGACUCCUACGGGAGGCAGCAGUAGGGAAUCUUCCGCAAUGGACGAAAGUCUGACGGAGCAACGCCGCGUGAGUGAUGAAGGCUUUCGGGUCGUAAAACUCUGUUGUUAGGGAAGAACAAGUGCUAGUUGAAUAAGCUGGCACCUUGACGGUACCUAACCAGAAAGCCACGGCUAACUACGUGCCAGCCGCCGCAGUAA